AAGUGAUCCAGAUGAAAUGUCGCCUUUUACCUUUUCCUUUGUCCAGCUACACUGGUCUAAUCUACCUGCUGAUCUUUACAUAUUCUACUCUGAGGAAUCUCCAAAUAUGCUAUUCCUAUCCUCUUACCUAUUCACUAGUUUUGCCUGGAAUUCAUUGGAAUUCCAUUGGAUCAGCUGCCUGUAUGAAGUAAAUGGAAGAGGCUCAGAAGCAGACAUUGAAUUCCUGCUGGAACCAGUUAGAAGUAGGGUGACCAUAUAAUUCAUUAUCUAAACAGAGACAUUUUUGAG
rnacentral:lncRNA from 12 species